CCCUUAGAUGUUCUGGGCUGCACGCGCGCUACACUGAAGCGUUCAACGAGUAUUUCACCUUGCCCGGGAGGGUUGGGUAAUCUUUUUAAAACGCUUCGUGAUGGGGAUAGAUUAUUGCAAUUAUUAAUCUUCAACGAGGAAUUCCUAGUAAGCGCGAGUCAUCAGCUCGUGCUGAUUACGUCCCUGCCCUUUGUACACACCGCCCGUCGCUCCUACCGAUUGAAUGGUCCGGUGAAGCGCUCGGACCGCGGCCUCUUGACGGUUUUCCGUCGAUUGGCUGUGGGAAGUUCGUUAAACCUUAUCAUUUAGAGGAAGGAGAAGUCGUAACA
rnacentral:rRNA from 1 species